CAAACAUGCAUAUUUUUCAACCAAAGCAUGCAUACAAGUUCCUAGGGGCCUCAAACAUACAUAUACCCCAUCUACAACACUUCAAUCACACACAAACAAGCUACAUUGUUCAAAAAGUCAAUAUAUACCCAUAACUCAACAUAUACCCUAACAUGCAUUUCUACCCAUAGAUCUUGCAUAAAACUUAUUUAGAACACAUAAGGAGCUUAAGAUCGGCUCUUACCUCUUGAAGAUCGAGAGGGAGACGACCUAAACUUGGAGAUCCACGAAAAUGAGCUCCUGAGUUCCCAAAGCUCCAAAACN
rnacentral:lncRNA from 1 species